rnacentral:rRNA from 1 species
GGGGAAUAUUGGGCAAUGGGGGAAACCCUGACCCAGCAACGCCGCGUGAAGGACGAAGGCCUUCGGGUUGUAAACUUCUUUGAUCAGGGACGAAUAAAUGACGGUACCUGAAGAACAAGCCACGGCUAACUACGUGCCAGCAGCCGCGGUAAUACGUAGGUGGCAAGCGUUAUCCGGAUUUACUGGGUGUAAAGGGCGUGUAGGCGGGUCUGCAAGUCGGAUGUGAAAUUCCCGGGCUUAACUCGGGCAGGUCAUCCGAAACUGCGGAUCUUGAGUACUGGAGAGGAUAGUGGAAUUCCUAGUGUAGCGGUAAAAUGCGUAGAUAUUAGGAGGAACACCAGUGGCGAAGGCGGCUAUCUGGACAGUAACUGACGCUGAGGCGCGAAAGCGUGGGGAGCAAAC